rnacentral:lncRNA from 1 species
CAUAAAUACUUCAUCUAUCUGGAAUGUCCCAUUUUAGUUUUCAUCAAACGAACUUUCACCAACAAGUGCUUACUACAUGGAGGCUUAUUUAAAAACAUAACUUCCCCCUUAUAGUUUUCUUAUUUGAAAUAAUAUCAAUAUCUUGUAUAAAAAUAAAUCACAAUUGGUUUAUCAAUGUGCUGAUAUUAGUGAAUCAGUUAUUUAAUAAUGAAAGGGCAUUAUUUACAUACAGACUUUAUUGCAAAAUACUUAUUACAAUACAGGAAUUUAUGGUGCUUACUGAUGCAGGGAAUGGAUAGUAUCACAAUUAAUGAGACACAAAGUUAGUGUUCCUGAUGUCAAGUAUGUCCCUAAGUAACCAAAAUAGUAUAAAACGAUAUGUGUCAAAAGCAAACAGUUAAACAUUAAACUGCUGGUUACUUUAAAACUAACCUUCGUCUGGGAGAUCACAAGGACAUAAUGAUAUUUUAUCUGUUAUCUGGUUGCAGGUGUCAGAUUUAUAGAAUGAUGAGGGAGCAACCAUUUUUAUUUAAUUAAAAGCUUAGUGAGAAGUGAAGUGUCAAAAAAUCAGCGACGCAAUUUAAAUUCCACUGAAUUUCUCACUGUAACAUAUUUUGGCCCCUUUGGUGUGAUCAUGGUAUUCCAGUGACACUCCCAGUCACGUGAUAUUGGCAACAUAAAUAGUGGAUCAGAAUCAAUCUGAGAGUCAGACUGUGUGAUAACACAUUUAUAUUUCAUGCAGACUUUAAUCAGCACCACUGCAGUGAUGUCAAGCGAGUGGACCAAGGUGAUGCCUGUCUCUUCAGAGGUCAAAGACAUGUGCAAUAAGGUGAAGCAACAAAUAGAGCUGGGAGCUGGAGUCUCUUUUACAACCUACCAUCCUCAGAAUUAUAUUACCAAAACGGAUCAAAACCCUGCAACAAACACAUUUGUGGUGAAGGUGGACACUGGAAAUUACCAGUGUGUUCAUGCAAAGAUACUUGAAACCGGGCAAGGAUUUACUGUGCCAGAAGUCAAAUACCCCCUACCCAUCAGUGAGCCUCUGGUACCCUUUUGAACACUUCUGAACCACAUACAAUCAUACUCUGUCUUAUAACAGAAAUGAAAAUCAGAAAGGCUGUUAAAAUCUUUUUCAUUCCUUAAUAUCAAAGUCAAUAUUGACAAAUGUAAUGAUUCGUAAGGAGUUUUAUCAUGCAUAUAUUCAUUUAUAAUCGAUUAAAUCGUUUUAUAGUAUAAUUGUUUAUAAUAAUCAUUGAUCAUAAAUGCUUUAUAUAACCGUUCAUUGAUCUGUCAUUUUAAACAAAUAUUUCAUUGUUAUACUGUAUGAUUGUGUUCUUUCAAUGGAUAUUGCUUUGCCUUUGCAAGACUUGUUGUGUGGGACAGUACUUUUUUGUCUAUUCUAUUCUACUGGGUUUGGUCUAAUACCAAUUGUUGGAUUCAUGAUGAUCAUGCAAAAUCAGCAUUAAAAACUAAAUGAAUAAACUCUUCUCAAUUACCAUCUCUUUGUUUCAUGCUUUUUACUUUUCCCUGGCAUCCUGU